CCGGCUCCGGUUCACCUCUGGUCGACACCACGAGGACCCGGUGCC
rnacentral:ncRNA from 1 species